GUGGGGAAUUUUCCGCAAUGGGCGAAAGCCUGACGGAGCAAUGCCGCGUGGAGGUGGAAGGCCUACGGGUCGUCAACUUCUUUUCUCGGAGAAGAAACAAUGACGGUAUCUGAGGAAUAAGCAUCGGCUAACUCUGUGCAAG
rnacentral:rRNA from 1 species